rnacentral:rRNA from 1 species
CCCGGGCCUUGUACACACCGCCCGUCACACCAUGGGAGUUGGUUUUACCCGAAGCCGGUGGGCUAACCGCAAGGAGGCAGCCGACCACGGUCAGGUCAGCGACUGGGGUG